rnacentral:lncRNA from 1 species
CGGCCGAUGAUAUUCAUCAGGGGCCGGGGGAAUGUAACGUCGAGAAGGAAUUAUUCCAAGCUGAUCAGCUAUCGUUGUCCACCGUUGAUCAAGAUGGGACGAUAUCAUCACCGCCGUCGGAUCAUCAUCGCUUCGCUGAUUUCCAAGCUGAGCUCCGACGGCUGAACGAAGAAAACCGAAGAUUGAGAGACAUGCUGGGCCAAGUCAGCAACAAUUACACCUCUCUUCAAAUGCAUAUGCUUUCACUAAUGCAGCAGCAGCAGCGUAAUCCCCCGGAAGUUCCGACUACUUACCCGCAACUACCGGUACGUCCGUCCUUGUUAUAUAUAUUUUUUAUAUUUGAAAUAAAUAAAAAAUGAUUCUAUAUAUCGUUUGUAUUUUGUUUGAUACGGAUUUUAAUAUAAAUGGAUUAAUAUGUUUUUAAUAAGAAAUUUAAUUUACUAAUUUGUUAAAAUAAUUCUUAUUAUAUCAGUUAUUAUAUUAUAAAGGUUUUAUGAAAAAUGAUUGGAGAGAUAUUUUAAAAACGUUAUUGAUAAAUUCAUGAUUUUUUAAAAAGUGAAAGAAUUUUAUAAUCAC